rnacentral:rRNA from 1 species
UGGGGAAUAUUGCACAAUGGGCGCAAGCCUGAUGCAGCAACGCCGCGUGAGGGAUGACGGCCUUCGGGUUGUAAACCUCUUUUAGCAGGGAAGAAGCGAAAGUGACGGUACCUGCAGAAAAAAGCACCGGCUAACUACGUGCCAGCAGCCGCGGUAAUACGUAGGGUGCAAGCGUUGUCCGGAAUUAUUGGGCGUAAAGAGCUCGUAGGCGGUCUGUCGCGUCUGCUGUGAAAUCCCGGGGCUCAACCUCGGGCCUGCAGUGGGUACGGGCAGACUAGAGUGCGGUAGGGGAGAAUGGAACUCCUGGUGUAGCGGUGGAAUGCGCAGAUAUCAGGAAGAACACCGAUGGCGAAGGCAGUUCUCUGGGCCGUAAACUGACGCUGAGGAGCGAAAAGCGUGGGGGAGCGAAACAGGAUUAGAUACCCUGGUAGUCCACGCCGUAAAACGUUGGGCGCUAGAUGUGGGGACCAUUCCACGGUUUCCGUGUCGCAGCUAACGCAUUAAAGCGCCCCCGCCUGGGGAGUACGGCCGCAAGGCUAAAAACUCAAAGGAAAUUGACGGGGUCAUAGCUGUUUCCUG